ensembl:lncRNA
GAGACCACAUUGUGAAGACAUUGUAUCCUUGCAUCCAGCUGAAUACCUGCAAAAAAUGGCUUCCUUCAAGUUAUCAGUGAUUGCCUUUCUGGCUAUUGGGCUUUAUCUGGACACAGUAUCUGCUAAAGGAGUCAAUUCUCUAGUUGAAUCAAUUCUAGCGAGUGAUGAUGCGGCAGAGAUUGCUAAAGAUCUUGAUGAUAUUGAACAGAGUGAUUUGAUGAUGGCACUGGGACAAGCAAUGAAGAAAGUUGAAAACAGUGACGAAAUGAAGGCACUAGGUGAAGCAAUUAAGAAGCUUCAAAACAAUGAGGAGGGGGCUAAACUAAUUGCAUCAGCUGAAGCGAUACCUCAAGUUGAAGCCAUUACGAAGUGUAUAAAAACAACUAAUUAGAUCCUAGAAGUCCACUUUCAACAGCGGAGCCCUAGAGGCUUCGUCUCGACAACUAUUUCCUGCCUCCUUCAUAUAUUCACGUCUCCAUGGUGACCAGAAACCAUAUGCUUUCAUGUUCUUUCUCUUUUCUCAAGAUAACAAAAUAAAGACUUCCUUGCAUUCAUCUGCUGUGCCUUUUGUGGAAUAAUUUUUGACAACUUUAUUGCAUAGUUGUAAAAUUAAUUAUGGUCCCUCAUCUUCCUGUUUUUUGCGCUGCCUUGAAGCUAAGGCGCAGUCACACUAGCCUAUGAGCUUCUCAAUCUGAACCAAUCAGAGAGCUAGGGAGGACUGCCAGGAACGCAGGCUGCCACAUGCUGCAGGCUCUCAUUGUCACAUCUGCCUGUUUAUUCCCCGGACAGGCCCUCUACUGGUCUGCCUCCCAUCGGCCCAUCGCCACUAAUCACACCUCUGGUGGCGUUAUCGAAACCAUCGCCACUCUGACUGUUACCGAACCAUCGCCUCUCUGACUAUCAGCCCGUUAUUGAGCCAUCGCCUCUCUGACUAUCAGCCCGUUACUGAACCAUCGCCUCUCUGACUAUCAGCACAUAACCUAUCCAUCGCCUCUCUGACUAUCAGCCCGUUAUUGAGCCAUCGCCUCUCUGACUAUCAGCCCGUUACUGAACCAUCGCCUCUCUGACUAUCAGCCCGUUACUGAACCAUCGCCUCUCUGACUAUCAGCACAUAACCAAACCAUCGCCUCUCUGACUAUCAGCCCGUUAUUGAGCCAUCGCCUCUCUGACUAUCAGCACAUAAGCAAACCAUGGCCUCUCUGACUAUCAGCCCGUUAUUGAACCAUCGCCUCUCUGACUAUCAGCUUGUUACUGAACCAUCGCCUCUCUGACUAUCAGCCCGUUACCGAACCAUCGCCUCUCUGACUAUCAGCCCGUUAUUGAACCAUCGCCUCUCUGACUAUCAGCACAUAACCAAACCAUGGCCUCUCUGACUAUCAGCCCGUUACUGGACCAUCGCCUCUCUGACUAUCAGCCCGUUACCGAACCAUCGCCUCUCUGACUAUCAGCCCGUUACUGGACCAUCGCCUAUCUGACUACUAGCUUGUUACUGGACCAAAUGAAAGAUGCUUCAUUUGAAAUGUUUAAAACCGUUAACCUGUAAAUUGUUAUUGAAAUGACAUUACAAAUUAC